rnacentral:rRNA from 1 species
CACGUAGGGUGCGAGCGUUGUCCGGAAUUAUUGGGCGUAAAGAGCUCGUAGGCGGUGUGUCGCGUCGGCCGUGAAAACCUGCAGCUUAACUGUGGGCUUGCGGUCGAUACGGGCAUCACUGGAGUUCGGCAGGGGAGACUGGAAUUCCUGGUGUAGCGGUGAAAUGCGUAGAUAUCUGGAGGAACACCGGUGGCGAAGGCGGCAUCCUGGACCAACACUGACACUGAGGAGCGAAAGCCAGGGGAGCAAACGGG